GCGCGAGGGAGCAGAGCAGAGAGAUCACAGCUCCCUCGCCACGUCUGACAGGAACUCAGCCGACGAUGGGGCGGGGGGUCCAUGAGGUAGCCAGCAGGCCACCUCAUGGCCCCCCCCCCCAUGACAGGGGGCGGGAUCUACGCGGCUCACGGUCGCAAGGGCUGUGGCCGGGCCCCCUGCAGUGAGGGGCCGCUCGCAGCUGCGACCGUGGUAGGUAUGCCACUGGUUUCAAACCCCAAAUACUCUGUGUCUGAGAGAUAAUUGCGUGAGAAAAACUCUUUAAUUAUCUCUCAGGUACAGAAGAAUCUACAAUAAUUCCAAACACCCCCAAAACACAUUUUAAUAUGUCAUUGUUGCACUAUAUUACAUUUUAUGUCAUUUGUGUAAUGCAUAUAUGAACUGGCAGCCUGGUAGAGGUGAUAUUGUCAAUUCCAAAAAGGGUUAAUUGGAUUGUGUGAGAGAUCAGAGCUUACAGCCCAAAUUCCUCUUUGAAGCUGUGACCCCCCCUCAGCAAGCCUUGUGUUUCAGUAUCCUAUCCAAAAGAGACAUUAAAAGGACACUAUAGGCACUAAACAACUUUAGCUUAAUGAAGUAGUUUUGGUGUGUAGAUCAUAUCCCUGCAGUCUCUUUGCUCAAUUGUCUACUAUUUAGCAGUUAAAUCACUUUGUUUAUGCAGCCCUAAUCACACCUCCCAGUAUGUGACUUACACAGCCUUCCUAAACACGUCCUGUAGGAAGUCAUCUAAUGUUUAUACUUCCUUUAUUGUAAAUUAUGUUUAAUUUAUAAUUUCACAUCUCCUGCUCUGUUAAUGGCUUUCUAGAUCCUGCCGGAGCCUCCUGUAUGUAAUUUAAGUUCAAUUUACAGAGCAGGAGAAAAACAUGUUUAAAGUAAGUUACAUCUGAUUGAAAAUGAAACCAUUUUGUUUACAUGCAGGCUCUUUCAGUCACAGCCUUGGGAGGUGCGGCUAGGGCUGCAUAAAUUGAAACAAGUGAUUUAACUCUUAAAUGGCAGUAGAUAGAGCAGUGAAACUUCAGAGGCAUGAUCUAUACACACAGACUGCUUCAUUAAGCUAUAGUUGUUUUCGUGACUAUAGUGUCCCUUUAGUACCUAUCCACAGAUUAAUACUCAAGCCUCAUUUUGAUCAUGUUUAGAAUGGGACAAGCACAGUCUUACAAAUAAGUAGUAGUUCUGCCAUAGACAGUCUGGGUGCAGGCAUGAGGCUCCUGGAUCUCCUCCUGACAGUGAUUAUAGCUCCUGUAGGAGCAGAUGAGGAGAUCCCCAGCAUGGGGACCUGAAAACAAUAAGCAGGCAAGCGAGUAGGCACAUGUGGGCAUGGUACUCAGUGACAGCGUUCCGUCACAAGGGGACUGUGUUAAGUAUUUGUUACCUUGGAAAGAAACUUUUCUCUUUGGAAUCUAGGAAAUGUUUUCACAGACAUGUAAUCUAAUUAAUUUAAUGAUCUACAUUUUGAAUCAGAUAAUCUUUCCAGUGAUUUAGAAUGUAUUUAAAUAAAGCUUUAUAUUCAGUUGGAGUAUGUGUUAUUAAUUUUAAACUAUCAAACAUGUAACAAGUACUUCCUUACAUGUCUUCAUUCCAUGGGGAGGGAACGUUCCAACAUCAGUUAUACUUUUCCCAUUUAGUUCUUAUUCAUGAAGCAUUGGAGUUGUAUU